rnacentral:rRNA from 1 species
UGGGGUAUCUUCCACAAUGGACGAAAGUCUGAUGGAGCAACGCCGCGUGAGUGAAGAAGGGUUUCGGCUCGUAAAACUCUGUUGUUAAAGAAGAACAUAUCUGAGAGUAACUGUUCAGGUAUUGACGGUAUUUAACCAGAAAGCCACGGCUAACUACGUGCCA